AGUGAACGCUGGCGGUAGGCCUAACACAUGCAAGUCGAACGGCAGCACAGUAAGAGCUUGCUCUUACGGGUGGCGAGUGGCGGACGGGUGAGGAAUACAUCGGAAUCUACUUUUUCGUGGGGGAUAACGUAGGGAAACUUACGCUAAUACCGCAUACGACCUACGGGUGAAAGCAGGGGAUCUUCGGACCUUGCGCGAUUGAAUGAGCCGAUGUCGGAUUAGCUAGUUGGCGGGGUAAAGGCCCACCAAGGCGACGAUCCGUAGCUGGUCUGAGAGGAUGACAGGCCACAUUGGAACUGAACCCCGGUCAGGACCCAGCGGGGAGGAGGCAGGGGGGAUUAUUGGAAAAGGGCCGCAAGCCGGACCCAGCCAUCCCGGGGGGGGAAAGAAGGCUUUGGGGUUUAAAAGCCUUUUUGUGGGAAAAAAAAAGCAGCGGUUUAAUCCCCGCCUGUUCGGAGGGUCCCAAAAAAAAAAGCCCCGGCAAAUUUGGGG
rnacentral:rRNA from 1 species